GAAAUUUGCAAGGCUUUCCCAACUCGAAAAACCAACAACCACAGUCGACUCAGAUUCAGCAGCGGCAGCAGAUGCAGAACCAGAAUGUCCCUUAUCAAGCUCGGCAACUUGACGGUGAAUUAGGCGGUGAAGAUAGCCCUUCCACUGCUGAUAGUCGAGUCUCUCGUGCAAACAUGAGUAUCUACGGUCAGAAUUUUGCAAUGCCUAUACAACCACCAAACUUCGCUUUGAUGACUCCACCAACAAUGGGUGGUGCCACUGCAAGUGGCAAUCCAGGUGAAAGGAAGCAGCAGCAACCACAACCACAGGGUUCAAGGGUUGGGAUUGAACCUUCUCAGGCUUUUGCCAUGCCCUUUGCCUCCAUUAAUGGAGCCACUACUGCUCCCAGCCUUGAUAUUUCGUCAAUUGCACAAAAUCAUGCUAUUCUUCCUAGUCUCCCAGAGGCUGCAAGGCAUGGAUAUCAUGUCAUGGCAGCUGCUGCAGUUGCCCAAGCGCAGCAGAAGAAGAAUUACCGUGCAGCUGAAGAAAGGAAAACCGGUGGAACUGAUGGUUCAAAUGUAGAAGAAGAGAGAAAGGUCAUACCAGGAGGAAAGGCUCAGGCAAAUGCUGGGCAAUCAAUUGCCUUUUCCCGGCCAGAUUUAACAGAUACAUCUGUUUCGACAAUUCCAGGCAAUACUGUGAUUG
rnacentral:misc_RNA from 1 species